rnacentral:rRNA from 1 species
CCCUUAGAUGUUCUGGGCCGCACGCGCGCUACACUGAUGCAUUCAACGAGUCUAAAACCUGGUCUGAUAGGGCUGGGUAAUCUUUUGAAAGUGCAUCGUGAUUGGGAUAGAUGAUUGCAAUUCUUCAUCUUCAACGAGGAAUGCCUAGUAAACGCAAGUCAUCAGCUUGCAUUGAUUACGUCCCUGCCCUUUGUACACACCGCCCGUCGCUCCUACCGAUUGAAUGAUCCGAUGAAUACCAUGGAUUGAGAGUUCGAACAGGUUCUCCUGUUUCAGCCUCUCGAGAAGUGGAGUAAAUCUUAUCAUUUAGAGGAAGGAGAAGUCGUAACA